rnacentral:rRNA from 1 species
UGCCAGCAGCCGCGGUAAUACGGASSKUKYAAGCGUUAAUCGGAAUUACUGGGCGUAAAGCGCACGCAGGCGGUUUGUUAAGUCAGAUGUGAAAUCCCCGGGCUCAACCUGGGAACUGCAUCUGAUACUGGCAAGCUUGAGUCUCGUAGAGGGGGGUAGAAUUCCAGGUGUAGCGGUGAAAUGCGUAGAGAUCUGGAGGAAUACCGGUGGCGAAGGCGGCCCCCUGGACGAAGACUGACGCUCAGGUGCGAAAGCGUGGGGAGCAAACAGGAUUAGAUACCCUGGUAGUCCACGCCGUAAACGAUGUCGACUUGGAGGUUGUGCCCUUGAGGCGUGGCUUCCGGAGCUAACGCGUUAAGUCGACCGCCUGGGGAGUACGGCCGCAAGGUUAAAACUCAAAUGAAUUGACGGGGGCCCGCACAAGA